rnacentral:lncRNA from 1 species
CCAGAGCAGCUGCGGCUGCAGUGCCAAGAAAAUUCCAGGAGAUGGCAGUGUGGCUCCACGCAAGAGGCUUUCUCGCCGCCAUCUCCGGCCGCCGAGACCUAGGAAGCUCCUAAAAUGUCGACUUGAAGCGAGCCUUUCUGGAAUGGGAUUUGUGUGAGCAGCAGUCGUAUAUUUUCCCUGCUGCUCAUGCCAGCCUGAAAGCCUCCAAGGGACACAGCAUGCGCCGGGGCUUGCCUGACCUUCGGCGCUCGCUCCUCCCCGGCCCCAUUCCGAGACCGCUGUGUUGCGUGGCAGCAGCGACGCCGAAGAGAAGCGGCUACGGGCCGGGCGCCGGCGCCUUCGCCUCCACUGUGCCGGGCUUAUACAAUGUCAACAGCCCCCUCUAUCAGAGCCCCUUCGCGUCCGGCUAUGGCCUGGGAGCCGACGCCUACAACCUGCCCUGCGCCUCCUACGACCAAAACAUCCCCGGGCUCUGCAGUGACCUCGCCAAAGGCGCCUGCGACAAGGCGGACGAGGGCGUGCUUCACGGCCCGGCCGAAGCCAGUUUCCGCAUCUACCCCUGGAUGCGCAGUUCAGG